rnacentral:rRNA from 1 species
CCUACGGGUGGCAGCAGUAGGGAAUAUUGGUCAAUGGAGGCAACCCUGACGCAGCAACGCCGCGUGGAGGAUGAAGGUUUUCGGAUUGUAAACUCCUUUUGUUAGAGACGAUUAUGUCGCUAUCCAAAGAAUAAGCACCGGCUAAAUCCGUGCCAGCAGCCGCGGUAAUACAGGGGGUGCACGCGUUACUCGUAAUCACUGGGCGUAAAGAGCGCGUAGGCGGGUUAGCAAGUCAGAUGUGAAAUCCUAGGGCUUAACCAUAGAACUGCAUUUGAAACUGUUAUUCUAGAGUAUGGGAGAGGUAAGUGGAAUUCUUGGUGUAGGGGUAGAAUCCGUAGAGAUCAAGAGGAAUACUCAUGGCGAAGGCGACCAUCUAGAACAUAACUGACGCUGAUGCGCGAAAGCGUGGGGAGCAAACAGGAUUAGAUACCCUAGUAGUC